rnacentral:rRNA from 1 species
UACGUAGGGUGCAAGCGUUGUCCGGAAUUAUUGGGCGUAAAGAGCUCGUAGGCGGUUUGUUGCGUCGGCUGUGAAAUCCCGAGGCUCAACCUCGGGUCUGCAGUCGAUACGAGCAAACUAGAGUGUUGCAGGGGAGACUGGAAUUCCUGGUGUAGCGGUGAAAUGCGCAGAUAUCAGGAGGAACACCGGUGGCGAAGGCGGCUACCUGGACAGAAACUGACGCUGAGGCGCGAAAGCUAGGGGAGCAAACAGG